GUGCGCACUUUGGCAGCACAUAUACUAAAAUUAGAACAAUACCAACAAGAUUAGCAUGGCCCCUGCGCACGAGGAUGAGAUGCAAAUUGAUGAAGCGGUCCAUAUUUUU
ensembl:snRNA U6 U6 spliceosomal RNA